rnacentral:rRNA from 1 species
AGAGUUUGAUCCUGGCUCAGAUUGAACGCUGGCGGCAUGCCUUACACAUGCAAGUCGAACGGCAGCACGGGGGCAACCCUGGUGGCGAGUGGCGAACGGGUGAGUAAUACAUCGGAACGUGUCCUGUAGUGGGGGAUAGCCCGGCGAAAGCCGGAUUAAUACCGCAUACGCUCUACGGAGGAAAGGGGGGGAUCUUAGGACCUCCCGCUACAGGGGCGGCCGAUGGCAGAUUAGCUAGUUGGUGGGGUAAAGGCCUACCAAGGCGACGAUCUGUAGCUGGUCUGAGAGGACGACCAGCCACACUGGGACUGAGACACGGCCCAGACUCCUACGGGAGGCAGCAGUGGGGAAUUUUGGACAAUGGGGGAAACCCUGAUCCAGCAAUGCCGCGUGUGUGAAGAAGGCCUUCGGGUUGUAAA